rnacentral:lncRNA from 1 species
AGCUGGUCGUGGUGGCACACACCUUUAAUCCCUGCACUCGGAAGGCAGGGGCAGGCAGAUUUCUGAGUUUGAGGCCAGCCUGGUCCAGGACAGCCAGGGCUACACAGAGAAAACCUGUCUUGAAAAACCAAAAAAAAAAAAAAAACAGUGGAGUAAAUCAUCUUGUUCAGGUUUGUAGCUAAAAGGAGCUGAGAGAGAAGAGGGAAAACAGAGAGAAGCCUUGGAGCAGAGCAACGCAAGCGCGAGCUCGGAAAGAGAAUCCACGUGUUGUAAGAAAAUGGCAGACAAGGCAGACAUGCGGGAAAUCGCCAGCUUCGAUAAGGCCAAGCUGAAGAAAACCGAGACGCAGGAGAAUAACACCCUGCCGACCAAAGAGACCAUCGAACAGCUCAGGAUGUGAGCCCUCGGCUUCCA